rnacentral:rRNA from 1 species
UGCGUAGGGUGCGAGCGUUAAUCGGAAUUACUGGGCGUAAAGCGUGCGCAGGCGGUUAUGUAAGACAGAUGUGAAAUCCCCGGGCUCAACCUGGGAACUGCAUUUGUGACUGCAUGGCUAGAGUACGGUAGAGGGGGGAUGGAAUUCCGCGUGUAGCAGUGAAAUGCGUAGAUAUGCGGAGGAACACCGAUGGCGAAGGCAAUCCCCUGGACCUGUACUGACGCUCAUGCACGAAAGCGUGGGGAGCAAACAGGAUUAGAUACCCUGGCAGUCCACGCCCUAAACGAUGUCAACUGGUUGUUGGGAAUUAGUUUUCUCAGUAACGAAGCUAACGCGUGAAGUUGACCGCCUGGGGAGUACGGCCGCAAGGUUGAAACUCAA